CCUACGGGUGGCAGCAGUCGAGAAUCUUUCACAAUGGGGGAAACCCUGAUGGUGCGACGCCGCGUGGGGGAAUGAAGGUCUUCGGAUUGUAAACCCCUGUCAUGUGGGAGCAAAUUAAAAAGAUAGUACCACAAGAGGAAGAGACGGCUAACUCUGUGCCAGCAGCCGCGGUAAUACAGAGGUCUCAAGCGUUGUUCGGAAUGACUGGGCGUAAAGCGUGCGUAGGCUGUUUCGUAAGUCGUGUGUGAAAGGCGCGGGCUCAACCCGCGGACGGCACAUGAUACUGCGAGACUAGAGUAGUGGAGGGGGAACCGGAAUGCUCGGUGUAGCAGUGAAAUGCGUAGAUAUCGAGAGGAACACUCGUGGCGAAGGCGGGUUCCUGGACAUUAACUGACGCUGAGGCACGAAAGCCAGGGGAGCGAAAAGGAUUAGAUACCCGUGUAGUC
rnacentral:rRNA from 1 species